AGCGUAGGCGGAUUUUUAAGCGAGAUGUGAAAUACUCGGGCUUAACCUGAGUGCUGCAUUUCAAACUGGAAGUCUAGAGUGCAGGAGAGGAGAAGGGAAUUCCUAGUGUAGCGGUGAAAUGCGUAGAGAUUAGGAAGAACACCAGUGGCGAAGGCGCUUCUCUGGACUGUAACUGACGCUGAGGCUCGAAAGCGUGGGAGCAAACA
rnacentral:rRNA from 1 species